UUUUUUAUUUUGGUAGGAAUAAUUUUUAAUAUUUGUGUUUAUAUUAAUUUUAUAUCAUUUUUUGUGGGUAUGAUAUUUGCAGUAAGUUGAAGGUGAUUUUAACUAGAAUGGUGCAAGACUUAAAUCUAAAGAAAUAGAAAAAUUAUAGGUAGAGUGAUAUUUUUAAUCAUGAAAUUUUUUUAUCGAUAUGGAUUUUUUUUAUCGAUAUGAAUUUUUUUAGUUUAUUCUUCUAAUUUUAUUUUUAAUUUUUUUGAUAUGCAGUAAUGGUCUAACUAAUAGAUCUUUCACUUCAAAAUACAACCGACCAGAGAUUUUGAAAGUAUUUUUAAAAGUAUUUCAAUGGAUUUGAUGUUAAAAUAAAGAUGUUAUACAAAUUUAU
rnacentral:lncRNA from 1 species